rnacentral:misc_RNA from 1 species
GAUGAAGAACGUAGCGAAAUGCGAUAAGUAAUGUGAAUUGCAGAAUUCAGUGAAUCAUCGAAUCUUUGAACGCACAUUGCGCCCGCCAGUAUUCUGGCGGGCAUGCCUGUCUGAGCGUCAUUUCAACCCUCAUGCCCCUAGGGCGUGGUGUUGGGGAUCGGCCAAAGCCCGCGAGGGACGGCCGGCCCCUAAAUCUAGUGGCGGACCCGUCGUGGCCUCCUCUGCGAAGUAGUGAUAUUCCGCAUCGGAGAGCGAUGAGCCCCUGCCGUUAAACCCCCAACUUUCCAAGGUUGACCUCAGAUCAGGUAGGAAUACCCGCUGAACUUAAGCAUAUCAUUAAGCGGAGGA